rnacentral:lncRNA from 1 species
CAAUAUUUAAAGAAACUACAACCACAUCGUUGUGGGGGAACUGGACCUCUCGGGCGUCUUCUUCAGUAAAGGUUAUGGGUCCUUCAGUCCUUUGUCACUUGGGCGGUCCAGUCGAUCCGCUGGCCGCUCCAUUCUGGGGCUCUCCAGAGAUGGUGCAGACGAUCCCGAUUGGAAGUCGAUUUUCAGAUUGUUCUUCCCUCCUCGACGGCGCCGGUCGUGGUAGGGUCCUCGACCGAUUCUCCCUACCUUUAGGCCAGCGUCGGAUGGAUCUGUCGACCACUAUUGUCGGAGGAGGGGGAGGGGCCUGGAAAAUCGGGGGU